rnacentral:lncRNA from 1 species
CUCCACAACAUUUUGAAAUUAUAUAUGUAAUGAUUGAAAUAAUUAACAAAUUAACAAUACAAUCAUUCCAAUUGCAACAGAAAUUGACUCUAAAUAAUAAAAAUUAGCAGGAAAAAUUAAAACCUAAGUUUUAGGAGAAAUUAACAAGGGAGGAAAUUAAAACCUUCAAUUGGACAAUAAUGAAAAAAUUAAAGGAGAAG